ACGAACGCUGGCGGCGUGCUUAACACAUGCAAGUCGAGCGGAAAGGCCCUGCUUUUGUGGGGUGCUCGAGUGGCGAACGGGUGAGUAACACGUGAGUAACCUGCCCUUGACUUUGGGAUAACUUUAGGAAACUGGGGCUAAUACCGGAUAGGAGCUCCUGCUGCAUGGUGGGGGUUGGAAAGUUUCGGCGGUUGGGGAUGGACUCGCGGCUUAUCAGCUUGUUGGUGGGGUAGUGGCUUACCAAGGCUUUGACGGGUAGCCGGCCUGAGAGGGUGACCGGCCACAUUGGGACUGAGAUACGGCCCAGACUCCUACGGGAGGCAGCAGUGGGGAAUAUUGCACAAUGGGCGGAAGCCUGAUGCAGCAACGCCGCGUGCGGGAUGACGGCCUUCGGGUUGUAAACCGCUUUCGCCUGUGACGAAGCGUGAGUGACGGUAAUGGGUAAAGAAGCACCGGCUAACUACGUG
rnacentral:rRNA from 1 species